rnacentral:lncRNA from 1 species
UUAUUUUAUCCUCUUUCUUCCUUGCUUCUUUUCAACUCGAAUCUUUUGUGUUCCCCAAUGUCCAUUUUAGUGCUCGUUUCUCCAUUUAAGCUCACCUACACAACUAAUCAUGUUGGUUAGAUCAUAUACAACCAAAAGACUCGAUAAGACUAUAAACAAACACACAUUGAAUUCAAACAUAGCUUAAAUACGGGCAUUAUUAGAUUUCUAAGCAUAUAAAUACGCCUAAGAUCAUGUACAUUGUCUUUGACUGUAUUAUCUAUCGCAAUGCUUUUUCGUAGUUUCGCAAUAACCCAUCCAACUACAAUCCGGGAGGACAUUUAUCAUAGCAACUUUCAAAUCUGCACGUUUGUUGAUAUUUAUCAGAAGGAAGCGAUGGCGAGUUGAUGGAGCCCUUCUUGUACUUAUUUUUUGUAUUUCGUAUGUUGUACUCUUUUAGUUUCUUGUACCUUCGUUUACCAGGUCAUGGGAUUAGAUCUUGAACUUUUGUUUAUAUUUUCAUUUCUCAUUUUUGUUGUGUUUUUCUCUUUAUUGUUACUAUAUUUUCAUUUGUUGUUCAUUCUUACCCAAUAUUCACGUUACUUUUUGUUCUGAGAUAUGGGUUGACUUAUCUAUUGGUGGGUUAUGGUAGGUAACAUGAUGAAUCGUUGGUAAAAAGCUAAUGUCUAGUACAGUUCUACGGAUUGGUUCAAAGACAUCUGUGUAUCCUAUCUUCGAGAGGUUAAAGACAUCUUUAGGAAGAUUCUUUCUUUUGGUUUGUUAAUGUUUGUUUGGUUGUCUUAUUCGGUUUCUUCAAGUUUAUUGUUUCACUCUUUUGCAGGAUAACUCGUAUGCACGGUUCAAAAGUCAGGGUGAUGCUUUCAGGCCAAUAGGUAGAGCCCAAACUAGGGGUAGAUGGUGACCUUGAGGUCGUGCGCAGGUUCCAGCACCAACAUAGGACCAAGGUAGAGAGGUGACCCCUGAUCAAGGUCAGUCUAGCCAGCCUAUUCAAUCGCACUUCAGAUUGUAUAGGGAGAGAAGUAAAGUCGGGGUAGUCUCUCUUCACCUCUAGAUCGGUUCUUCCUGCUUGAGAUGAGAGAGGCUAAGGUAUAAGAGUUUAUAAAUCUAAGGCAGGGUAACAUAACAAUCAAGAACUAUUCCUUGAAGUACACUCAACUCUCCAAGUAUGCUCCUACUAUGGUGGCCGUGCGACUCUAGGCCGUGCAUAAGUAAGUUUGUCUCUGGUGUUUCUGAGAUAGUUAUGAAAGAGUGUCGGACUAGGAUGUUGAUAAAUGAGAUGUAAUUCUCCCAUUUGAUGACUUAUACUCAAUAAAUUGAGGAGGAAAAGCUUAAGAAGAUUACAAGAGAGACUAAGAGUGCUCGGAGAAAUAGUAUGGACUACUCUCAUCAGAAAUCAAGAGGUGGUAGUCGAUCUCAGUUUUCACAAAUGUAUUUGGGCCUAGACCCAGCCUCUGCUAAUGCUAUGCUGGCAUCUAGGUUCUUAUUCACAUGGCAAUUUUUAGUGGACAUUCUUUUCCCACUUGUCAGAAGUGUGGUAAGAACCAUCCGUAAGAGUUAUAGUCAUUACUGGUAGAUAUUUUGGAUAUUGUACGAUAGGUCAUAGAUUGAGGGAUUGCUCAUAAGCUAGAGGAAAGGGCAGUGAUGUUAGUUCACAGACUCAUCUUAAUGCUUCAGUAGGUUGCCCAACUCAGCACAGUACCUCAUCUAGUACUGGUGGCGGACAGGACAGUACCUUAAUAGGAUCAGGAGGUUUCCCCUAUAUAAUCACUGGUAUGUUAUGUGUCUUUCCGUUUAAUAUGCAUUGUCAGAUCCGAGAUCCACACCUUACUUCGUGACUCAUUAUGUUGCAAUGAAAUUCAAUGUAAGUCCCAAAAUCUUAUCAGAACUCUUCUCAGUAUCUACUCAUGUUGGUGAAUUUGUUUUGGCUAAACGGGUAUACAAAAAUUAUCUGAUCUUAAUUUUAUAGAAAAUCACCUCAAUUGAUAUAGUAGACUUAGACAUGGUUGAUUCCAAUAUGAUCCUUGCCAUCGUCUGGAUAUAUGCUUGUUAUGGCUCAGUCGACUGUAGAACUAGAGUCGCAAAUUUAAUUUUUUGAAUAAACCAGUCAUUGAAUAGAAGGGUAGUACCCCAACGCCUAUAUGUCAGUUUAUGUCGUACCUUAAGGCCAAAAAGAUGAUUUCUAAGGGUUGUUUCUAUCAUAUAGUUCAGGUUAAGUAAUUUAGUUCCAAAACCCCAACUCAUCAAUCAGUCUCUGUAGUGAAAGAAUUUUACAAAACUGUUUCACAAAGACAUUCUCGGAGUUCCUCCAAAAAGGGGAAUUGACUUAGGAAUAAAAUUCCUUCUAGAUACCUAAACUAUCUCCAUCCCUCCAUAAAAAAUGGUUCUAGUUGAGCUUAAGAAGUUAACAGAUCAGUUAAAAGAUCUACUAGAUAAAGGUUCUAUCCGACCCACUAUCUAUUCAUAUGGUGCUCCAGUUUUAUUCAUGCGUAAGAAAGAUGGUUCUCUCAGAAUGUACAUCAAUUAUCGUCAGUUGAACAAGGUUACAAUCAAGAAUAAAUAUCUUAUCCCUAGGAUUCAUAACUUGUUUGAACAACUUUAGGGUGUAGUUUCUUCUCAAAUAUAUAUCUCAGACUAGGCUAUCAUCAGCUCCGAGUCACAAAAUGUGACAUUCUAAAGAAACCUUCAAGACUCGGUAUGGUCACUAUGAAUUUAAGGUUAUGUCUUUUGAACUAACAAAUGAUCUUGCAGCUUUUAUGGAUUUGAUGAACAUGGUGUUCAAACAAUAUAUGGAUAUGUUCGUCAUUGUUUUCAUAGAUGACAUUUUGAUCUAUUCUCGGAGUGAGGAUGAGAAUGUAGGCAAUUUGAGAAUUUUCUUGCAGAUUCUUAAAGACCGUAAGUUGUUUUCUAAGUUCAUUAAGUGUGAAUUUUGGAUGAAGUAUGUAGAAUUCCUUGGAUAUAUAGUCUCAAGAAAGGGUAUUCUAGUUGAUCCUAAGAAGAGUGAGGCAGUUAAGAACUGGCCUAGACCUCUUUCUCCCUUAGAUAGAGGAGUUUGUUGGAUUUAGCUUGUUACUAUUGACGGUUUGUUGACAGAUUUUCCUCUAUUUCUACUACUUUGUCUAGAUUGACUCAAAAGAAAGUAAAGUUUCAGUAGAUCAAAUUUUGUGAGGAGAGUUUUUAUAAGUUUAAGACUCAACUUACUUUAGCCUAGUUCUACCUCUACGAGAAGGUUCAGAUGGUUUCAUGGUGUAUUGGAAUGAUUUCUGAAUUGGUCUUAGCUGUGUAUUGAUGCAAAAUGGUAAGGUCAUAACUUAUGCUUUCCGGCAAUUCAAGGUUCAUGAGAAGAAUUACCUAACUCACGAUUUAGAGUUGGAAGAAGUGAUGUUUGCCUUGAAGAUUUGGAGGCAGCAUCUUUAUGGUGUUCAUAUGGAUGUGUUCACAUAUCAUAAUAGUCUUCAAUAUGUAUUCAAACAGAAUGACUUAAAUCUUUUGUAGAAGAGAUGUCUCGAGUUAUUAAAGGAUUAUCACAUGAGUUUCCUUUACUUUCUUGAUAAAGUGAAUGUAGUGGCACAUGCUCUUAGUAGAUUGGGAAAAUUUGAAUAUGGAUUUUAUCAUAGGUUUGCCUCACAUGCGUCAUCAACAUGACUUUAUUUGGGUGGGUAUAGACUAAAUGACUAAGUCAUCACAUUUAUUUUCAGUUAACACUUACUAUUAAAUCGAGGAUUAUACUAGACUUUACAUUUAUGAGUUGGUGAAAUUGUAUGGAGUUCUAUUGUCCAUUAUCUUAGAUAGGGGGUACUCAUUUCACCUCUAAAUUUUGGAGAUCGUUUUAGAAAGGUCUUGGUACUCAGGUUAAGCUUAGCACAACUUUUCAUCCACAGUAAGAUGGUCAGACUGAUUGGACUAAUUAAACCUUGGAGGAUAUGUUGAGAGCUUGUGUAACUUACUUUAAAGGUAAUUGAGAUGAUCAUUUUCCUUUGAUUGAAUAGUUACCACUCCAGUAAUCGGAUGGCUCCAUUUUAGGCACUCUAUUAAGAGUUGUAGGUCUCCUAUAUGUUGGUUUGAAGUUGGUAAAGCGGCUUUGAUAGGGAUCGAGUCAGUUCAUGAGGGCAUGAAGAAAGUUCAACUUAUUAGAGAAAGGUUGAGAACGAGCCAAAGUAGGCAAAUACUUUAUGCAAAUAUGAGGAGUAGAGAGCUUGAAUUUGUUUUAGGUGUUUGGGUUUAUUUGAAGACUUCACCCAUGAAAGGGGUGAAAAGAUUUGGUAAGAAAGGAAAGCUUAGUCCCUAUUAUGUAGGUCCUUACCAUAUUGUGAGGCAUUUUGGUAAUGUUGACUAUGAGUUAGAUUUUCCUUCAAACAUAACAUCAGUGCAUCCAGUGUUUCAUGUGUCCUUGUUGAAGAAGUGCAUUGGUGAUCACACUACAAUCGUGUCUUUAGAAAGUGUUGCUGUGAAGAAAAAUCUCUCUUUCUAUUAGGUAUCCAUUAAAACUCUUGACUGUCAUGUUCAUAAAUUGAGGAAUAAUGAAAUUUCUUCUGUGAAAGAUCUUUAGAGGAAUAAGUGAGUUGAAGGUUCUACUUUGGAAGCAAAAGCAGAUAUGAUGUUCAAUUAUCCUCACCUUUUUCCUACCAAUUCAGUUUCAGUGUGAAGUAAUACUUCCUACUUAGUACACUUCAAAUUCAUGCCUUUCAGUAAUCACAUGCAUGUUCAUGAAAUCAAAUCAGUUUUCAUGUUUUAGUUCGGAUUCAAUCACUCCUUCAGUUACCAAUGUUUAGCUUAUCCUUCACUACUCUUCUCAUCCUAGUUAGAUUCCAUUCAAGGAUGAAUGUUUCCAAGGAAGAGAGAUUGUGACACCCUAAAAGUUCCUAAGCCUAUAUUGGUGGGUUCGUACAAACACUUUCACAGAUCGUGAAAGGAACCACGGGCUGUGAUAGGAACUUUAUACCCGAGCUUAGAAUUUGGAAAAUUAAAAGAAGUUUUUCAUGAGCUCUUUCACAGAUCAUAGAGACUUUCACGGUCCGUAAACCAAUACCCACAAUAAAAAAAUUGCUAUCCUUUACUUACACUUGUACGAACCGUGUAAUGUUUUUGCGGACCGUAGAAGGGUCCGUAGAAGUUGAUCCUUAGAACCCAGAACUCCCUUCCAUUCAUGGGCACUUCCAUGGUCCGUGAAAGAUUGUACGGUUCGUGUAAGGCAAAUGUAGAAGGCCUCCGUCAAUUUUAAUUUAGAGUUACUUUGGUCUUUUCUCACUCUUUUAUUCACAUAUUAUGUCGUUUUAACCUAUUCUAAGUGGGAUUAGGGACAUUUUAUCAGCCCAAAACUCUCCAUUCAGUCAUAAUCCCCCAUAUUAGAUUUCUUCUUUCUGAUGUUUUCUCCCAAAGAAAGAACUAGAGUUCCAAGCUUCAAGUCUCCUUUCCAAGAAUUAACAAGGUUUGUACACCGUGUAUAUAGAAUUUCAUCAAUGGGUAUUCCUUCACACAUUGAGUCCCAAAGAAAGUUUAUAAUUUCAAAUUUUAUGAUUAAUACAAGUUAGAACUUCAUAGGAUCUUCAUGGGUUUUCAUUAUAAUUUAGUUUUCCUUCAUGAUUUGUCCCUAAUUGCAUGUUUUACUAAUGAGUUCCAUGAUUUCAAUUAUAAUUCUAUAUUUUCAAUGAUAAUUUCAUGAAUCUAUAGCAUGCAAGCAUUUUCAUGACUCAGAAUUAUGCUAUUUCAUAUGAAUGUCUUAGAUUAUCUAAUUUUCACGAUUUAGAUAUUUUUCAGAUAAAGUAUCUUUCAGAUUAUUUUUAGUUAUCAUAAUAUAAGUUGCUUUCUAAUAAUGUAUCUUUCAGUAUGAUUUCAGUUAUCAUGAUUUAUGAGCUACUCAGUAUGUGUCAAUUAUCAGUAUGAUUCAGUAUUAUCAUAUUAUGAUUGUUUCCAUAUUUUGCAUGUUUCCACUGGGAGUAAUACUUAGCACUGAGUGAAUUUUAAGGAUGAAGGUUUCUGGUCAGCGUUUGAGGACCUUUAGUAGCAAACUCUUAGUCCCAAAACUACGUGCCAUCAUAAGAUUUGUCUUAGAUAGAUGUUAGCUUAGUGGAUCCACUUUGGCUCAGUUAGAAGGUCUCUUACGAUAUCAAGUAUUGGACACCCUUUUGUCAUGUGGGGAAAGUAAAUUGAACUCCAUUUAGUAGUUCACAUGAUUUAUGUCGGUUUUAGUAUCUCCCAUAAUCAAAUUUUUAGUUAUUGCAUGACCUUGUACUUAUAUAAUUUAGUUUUGCUUGUUAUUUUACUUUGUCAUUGCAUCAACAUAUUUUACAGAUUUAGUAUGUUUAAAUAUCAUGUUUAUUAUGCAUAUUCCUCAUACUCAGUAUAUUGAAAUUACUAAACACAUAAUUUCUACCUAUAUAGGUUCUGACGCUCAAUAUCCAGCCCACCCAGUUAGUAUAGAUCCAGUCAACAUUGUAGCAGCUUUUGGUGAGUCCUCAUUACUGAGGACAACCCCUUUAUCUUUCAAUUUCAAAAUUGCACUUUUAGCUUCAGACAAUUGGAGAUAGCUAGGGUUUUUUCCUAGUAACUCAUAUUAGGUGAGGCUUUUAGACAGUCAGAUACAAAUUCAACCUAUGUCAUGUCUUUUCAAAUGUUAGUUUAUCUCAGUAUUAUGAUAUUUAUUAACAUAUUUCAUAUUUAGCUUCCACGUUUACUUUCCAUCUUUUUCUUUGGUUUUAUGCAAAAUCUUAGUGUCAUGUCAUGCCAUGAGGUUAACUUGGGGUCACUUGUGGCUCUAAGCACCGUGUCCAUUAGCUCUUGAAUGUCCAGUUUGGUCUAGAAGGAUCUUUGGUUCGGGACCUGAGGCUUUCAGACUCAUUUCAAACUAUCUCUUGGAUUUUAGCUUUAAAAUGAGCUUGAUUGUGAGAUCCACUUUUUGUUAAUACGACCUUGAUUGGGUUUUGACAUCUCUAUUGAGUUUGGAAUUUCAAAUUUUGUGGGUGUCAUAUUUCAUUUGUGUGCACAAGGUUCCGAACGAAUCUCGAGCCACCAUCGGGAUAUUUUGCCAAUUUCAACUUGAGCUAGUGUAACCUUUGUCUGAGCAUCAUGAUUAUUAUUUUUGCGUUAGAGGGCCUUGAGUCACGUUCGUAGAGGCCAAGGAGAUUGGUCACCUCAUUGGUGAGCUCGACUCCGUAUUCGUGGAGUGUGGGCCCAUACCCUUCACAUUAUUGAAUAGGGUCCCACGUUCAUGGAGAAGGGUAAAGUUGACAUGGCCCAGUUGACCACCACGAUCACGUCCAUGGGUCUCACGUUUGUUGAGGUCAUUUAACUGGUCCGUUCAUGGGGUGUUCCCGUUUUGUUCAUGCGUAAGAAAAAUGGUUAUUUCAGAAUGUGCAACAAUUAUUGUCGGUUCAAUAGGAACACAAUAAAGAAAAAGUAUCCCAUCCCUAGAUGACUUGUUUCAUUGGCUUUAGGGUGCCAGUUUCGUGUUAAAGAUAGACCUCAAAUCGGGCUAUCAUCAGCUCAAAGUCAGAGAAUGUGGCAUUCUAAAUACAACCUUUAGGACUCGGUAUGGUCACUAUGAAUUCAUGAUUAUUUCAUUUGGACUAACGAAUGCUCCAAUAGAUUUUAUGGAUUUGACGAACAUAGUUUUCAAACUAUAUUUGGACAUGCUCUUCAUUAAUUUCAUAGAUGAUGUUUUGAUCUAUUCUCACAGUGAGGAUGAGCAUAUAGGCCAUUUGAAGAUUUUCUUGCAUAUUCUUAAGGACUAUCAAUUGUUUUCUAUGUUUAAUAAGUAUGGAUUUUUGUUGAGGUACGUAACAUUCCUUGGUCAUACAGUCUCAAGAGAGGGUAUUCAAAUUGAUCCUAAGAAGACUGAGGUAUUUAAGAACUAACCUAGACCUCUUUCUCCCUCGGAUAUUUGGAGUUUCUUGGGUUUAACCGGUUACUAUAGACGGUUUAUUGAAGGAUUUUCAUCUAUUGCUUCUCAUUUGUCUAGAUUGACUUAGAAGAAAGUGAAGUUUUAGUAGUCUGAAUCAUGUGAGUUAAGUUUACAGGAGUUGAGGACCUGACUUACUUGAGCCUUAGUUUAAACUCUACCGGAGGGUUCAAAUUAUUUCAUGAUGUAUUGUGAUGCUUCCAGAAUUAGUUUUGGAUCUGUAUUGAUGCAACAUGGUAAGGUCAUAGCUUAUUCUUACGGGCAAUUCAAGAUUAAUGAGAAUAAUUACCCGACUCACGAUUUAGAGUUGGCAACGGUGGUGUUUUCCUUGAAGAUUUGGAGGAACUGUUGUUAUGGUGUUCAUGUGGAAGUGUUCACAGAUCAUAAGAGUCUUUAAUAUGUGUUCAAAUAGAAGGACUUAAAUCGGAGAUGGCUUCAAUUAUUAAAGGAUUAUGACAUGAGUUUCCUUUAUCAUCCAAGUAAAGCAAACGUAGUGGCAGAUGCUCUUAGUAUAUUUUAGAUGAACAAUUUCAUUCACUUCGAGGAUGAGAAAAUGGAGUUGGUUUGUGAUGUUUACAGGCUUUCUCACUUGGGAGUUCGUCUGGUCGAUUCAGAAAAUGGUGGAGUUAUUAUGAUGAAUGGGUUAAAAAUGUUGGGUAUUAAUUGCCCUGAGUAUCUUACCAUAAAUAAGUUUUCAUUUUAGGAAAAGGUUAAAGAUUGGCUAGUCCUUUUCUCGUAGGAAAAAGGUUUAGGCCUCUAUAAAUAGAGGAUUGUUCCUUCUAACUUAAUCAGCAUUCACAAUGUAGUCUUAAGGGUUGUGAGAGUUUUGGUUAGGGAGAGAAUUUGUGGGACACAAGCUUGAUACGUUAUCACUUGUGUGAACCUCCCAUGUAUUCCGAGUAGAUUGGUUGAGGUUAUCUCUCUAUAUUUUGUACUCUCAUGUUUAUAUAGCGGAUUGCUCAUCUCAUAUAUGGAUGUAGGCUGAUUGACUGAACCACGUUAAAAUUUUGUGUCUUUUGUUGGGUUUUAUUUUCCCUGAUUUCUUACCAGAAAUAGGUUUUCCUUUUAGGAAAAGAGUUGCUUUCCUAGCUUCGGCAUGACACCUAAUUUAUUUCUGAUCCUAACAAGUGGUAUCAAAGCCAAAUUCAAUGAUGAAGCCAGGUUGGAUGGUUCAAUGAUGGAGCUAGGUCCAAUGGUUCAAUGAUGUAGCUAGGUUAAAGACAAUUGUUCAUCUUGGCGGGUGUUCUAGUCGUAGCCUUUUUUACAGUAAUGAAGACUUUUGUUGGACAAAUUUUCAGAGAGGUUCUAUGUGUCAAGACGUAGAUUUGAUGGAGGAGAUUAUGGAGAAAAGGUGAAAGAUCCUAAAGAUUAUGUGAAGAAGCUGGAAAAAUUUAUUUUGUCAGAAAUUCAGGCCAAGGGGGAGAUUUGUUGGGUUUUAUUUGCCCUGAUUUCUCACCAUAAAUAGGUUUUCCUUUUAUGAAAAGGCUUGCUUUGCUAGCUUCCGCAUUACACCUGAUUUUUAUGGUCCCAACAAGUGGUAGCAGAGCCAGAUUAAAUGAUGGAGUCGAGUUUAGUGGUUCGAUAAUCGAUGAUUGAAUCAGGUUAGAAAGAGAUGUUCAUCUUGGAGGGUAUAGUUCUAGCCACAACUUUUUUGACAGUAAUGAAGAUUUUUGUUGGAGAAAUUGUUUCAAAGAGGUUCUUUGUGCUGAGACAUAUAUUUGAUGGAGGAUAUUAUGGAGAGGAGAAGCAAAUUGUUGAAGAUUAUGUGAAGAGGAUGGAUAAAUUUAUUUUGUCAGAAAUUCAAGCCAGGGGGGAGAUUUGGUGGGUAUUAAUUGCCUUCAGUUUCUUACCAUAAAUAGGUUUUCCUUUAAGGAAAAGGUUUAAGACUGGAUAGUCCUUUUCUUGUAAGAAAAGGUUUAGGACUCUAUAAACAGAGGCUUGUUCCUUCUAACUUAAUCAACAUUCACAAUGUAGUCUUAAGGGCUUUGAGAGUUUUGGUUAGGGGGGAGAAUUUGUGGGUCACAAACUUGAUACGUUAUCACUUGUGUGAACCUUCCAUGUAUUCCAAGUAAAUUUGGUUGAGGCUAUCUCUCUCUAUAUUUUGUACUCUCAUGUUUAUAUAGCGGAUUGUUAUUUCCUUUGUGGACGUAGGUCGACUGAUCGAACCACGUUAAAUCUUUGUGCCUUUUGGUAUAUUUCUUGUUUGUCUUCUUACUCAUAGUCUUUCGAGAUUUUCUUUGCUAGCUUCCGCAUGACACCUAAUUAUUUCCGGUCCUAACAAAAAUCAUCUCUCGUAACGGAUGUUAAGGUAAAUUAGGAUGAUGAUCCAAAUUCAGUUGAGUUGAAGAAAACGGUUCUCAAAAAACUAUUGAGGCUUUUUCCCAAGGGGAUAUGUGCUUCGUUAACAGGGUCAAUUAUGUGUUCCAGAUGUUGAUGGGUUGAGUGAUCAAAUUUCAAACUAGUUAAGGUUGAGCAUCAUAAACCAGGUAGUAUAACUCAGGAUGUUAGUAUUCCUACUUUGAAGUGAGAAGAUUUGAAUAUGGACUUCAUCACAAGUUUGUCUUGCAUGCGUCGUCAGCAUGACUCUAUUUGGGUAGUUGUAGACCGAAUGACUAAGUUAAAGCAUUUCCUUCUAGUUAAGACUUCUUAUUUAGCCGAUGAUUUGGAUUCACUAGAUCUUAUUGCUUUUCAAUAUUAUAGACACACAAUUUUAUACUUUCCUUAACUUAUUAUUUACACUACUUUAGCAUUAAAUGUUUUGUUUGAGAUUAGUCUUGUUAUUUGACUUUCAUUUCAUUUUUAAUAGGUUAAUUUAAAAAAUUGCAAAAUCAUAAAAUAAAAUAAUAUAAAAAUUGAUGUUUCUUCAGGAUAUAAUAUCUAAAAAAAUUUGUUUAAACUAAGAAAAAAUCACAAAAAUAUUAUGCUUUUAAAUUACUAUUUUAUUAAUGAUAUUUUAAUUUUUUUAUUCAAGGAUUAUUAAUUACGAUAUUUUGUUUUUUUAUGAUAUUUUUGUUUACUCUCUUUAAAAUAUAAAAAAUAAAUUUUAAAAGAGAACCAAUAAUCUUUUGCCACCUGGCAAAAAUUCCAUCUUAUCCAUGUGCAAAAAACUUUCUUGGCCAUUACUCAUUAGGGAAAAGGCAUGAAUUCUCCCGUGAAUUUGUUCCGAAAAGUCAGUUACACGUUUAAACUAUCAUAGUGACUUAUUACACACCUAUAAUAUUUAAAAGUGAAUUUUCUUACCCCCUAAAACUGAAGGCAAAAAAAACAAAUAUAAAAAAUAGGCGCGUCAGUUUGAAAUUAAAGUUAAAAAAAAUAUCGUUAGAAUCCUCUUUUCCACCCUCACACCUGUUCUUCUUCACACCCCACCCAUUCUCCUCUUCUACUUCAUUCUUUAUUUUUAUCACACUUCUUUAUUUUUUAUCACAAUCUUAAAGCACAUUUUUUUUAUUCGCAAUUAGGUUAGUUCCCAUAUAUUUGUUAGUGAAUAAUUGUAUUUUAUCUAGAUAAGUUUCGGUUGAUUAUUUCUAUCUUUUUCAUUUCUUUGACUUUGUUAAAUAAAUUGUGGUUGUUAAUCAAUUUUUGGGUUUGGUGGUGAUAGCAGCUUUAUGGGUUUGGUGGUGAUGGGUGGCGGGUGACAAAAAUUUAAAGAGGUAAUUGAAGAUGGUGAAGAAGAAAAAAUCGAUAUUGAUAAUGGUGGUGAUGAUAUUUGGUGUUGGGUGACAAAGAAGAAAAAAAAUUGAAGGUGAUAUAGUGGUGGUGAAGAACAAAAUCAUUAGUGAAGGUGGGGCUGUAUAUGAUUUUCCGAUGAAAUGAGAAUUCAAAAUGGGUGGGAUUAGUAAUGAAGAAGAUAUAAUUAUUAGAGAAUUAAAACAAUUAAUUAUGAAUUAAUUAGAGUAAACUAUAGUUAACAAAAGAAAAGUUAAUUAAUAAAGAAAAGAAAAGAAAAGAAAAAUUAUAAUUUAUGACAUGGCGCUGACGUAAUGUUGAUGUGGCAGCGAGUGUAAUACACCACAUAAUGUGAGAGUGGUGUUACACGUCUCAGGGUGGUAAUAAAUUCACUUUUGAGUAGUAAAGGUGUGUAAUAGGUCACCAUUAUAGUUUAAGCGUGUAACUAACUUUUCGGGACAAUUUCUGGGGGUUAUCUAUGCCUUUUCCUUAAUCUAUACUCUAACCAUACACACAUAUCGCAGUGACCUCAAAGACACCACACUCGAUCAGAUUUGUUUUUCAUACACUUGCACUCACACUCACUCUGAUGAGAGAGACACUACACACAAUUGCAUUUUUCUUCACUAGCCUGAAAGGACUCCAUUCACUAUAACGAAUACUCUCCUUAUGCAUCUUAGAUAGAGGAAGAGCACAUUACAUAGAUGGGACUCUUCAUUAAGUUUUCAAUCAAGUUAAGCCUCUUCUCCACCAUGUAAUCCCACCAUAGUCAUGGAAGCCUUACCAUAGUCCAUAGGCAUCACUCAUUUCCUUUCAAUCGAGCUCCACAACAAACAAAACCCCAAAAAAUGAGCAAUAUCGAGGAUUUUGUAUUACUAAUAACUAUAAUUGAUUUACUUUUCGAAACUUUAAGAUUUCACUCUAAUUGAGUUGUAUUGGAGUUUGAGUUCUUUUGGAACCGCAUUAACAAAAAUUUAUCAAAUCAUGUUGGAAAUUAACCAAGAUUUAUAAAGAAAAUAGUUAUUAAUUAAAGUAAGAUAUAAAAUAAAUUCAUUAGAAAGUUUGUUCUUUGAUGAAGGGAUUAACUAGGUUAUCUCAUUAUACGCAAGAGAUUUAAUUUUAUAGCCCUUUACUAACUUAUUUUUAGUUUUAUGUCUCUUUUUUAAGUUGUUUUUAUUUUUUCACAUAACAUAUCCUAAAAUUAAAUUUUCAAUUUGUAAGUAGUUAAAAGAGAUCAUUUCCUCAUAUUGAUUUUGAUAUUUAAUCUAUAUAUCCCUUGUUUGAUCGGAGGUACUAGCUAAAAUUAGUGUUAUUUUUAUAUCAAAAUCAUUUUGUAUCACGUAUCUCAUAUAUAAAAGUUAGGAUUGCUAGAGUCGUAGAUUUUGAAAUUAAAUAGCACCUAAGAAUAUUUUACUUGGGGAAUAAAAGUAAAAAAAAAAACUAGGGUAUCCCCUAUCUCUUCACCUCUUUCAUAUCACCAAACCUAAUCAUGAAUCUGAUCAUAGAACAUAUCGGUCUAACAAAAAGAUCGAAAAUAAAGUAGAAAAAAACAUGAAUUCUUUAAGUGAUGAUGGAAUUAAAAAGGUGGAACAAGUGCAUGUGUAUUUAAAUUAACGAGUAAACCUAUUUCUUAACACUAUAAAGAAGAAGUAAAAUGACACUUUCCUCCUCCUUGGUAAAACAAUCUAUGAGCUUAGCUAGAGUCUUUAUGUCACGAUACCUCAGAUCAUGCCUUGGUGGUUCCGUACUAGAGAUAAGUCAAUUGACCAGCAUUUUGGUGAAGCAAUAUUAGAUGAUGGUGUAGAAAAGAUAUGUUGUUUCUGGAGAAUUGAUGAAUCAAUGGUAGAACUCUACUUUUGUUGAUAACUAAAAAUUGCACAAAAAAGUUUCUUUGGUGGGCUCCUUCAAUCCAAAGUUCUUUGGAGUGAACCUUUUAUCAACUCGAUUUGGAUUAAAGGAACCCACCAAAGAGAAGUGUUUCUGUCAUUUUCUAAUUAUCAACAAUAAUAUAGUUCUACUAUUGACCAAUUCAACAACAACAACAACUCUUUUCUACAACAGCAUUUGACAUUGACUCACCAAAUGCUCAUCAAUUGACUCUAUCUCUAAUACGGAAGCCACCUAGGAAUGAUCUAAGGCUUCAUGAUAUGAGGACUCCAGCUAGGCUCAUGGGUCGUUUUACCAAAGAGGAAGAAAGAGUCAUUUAUCUUCUUCUUCGUAAUGCUAAGGAAUAGGUUCACUCACUGAGUUAAAUAUACAUGCAUUUGCUCCACGCUUUUAAAUCCUUCACCGGUUAAAGAAUUCAUGUUUUCUUCCUAAUUUAGUUUCAAUCUUUUCAUUAGAUCAAUAUGUUCUAUGAUCAAAUCCAUGAUUAGUUGUAGUCGUAUAAAAGAGGUUAACAGAGAGGAGAGACCCUAGUUAUUUUACUUUAUUCCCCUACUCAAAUUUUCUUAGGUACUAUUUUAUUUCAAAAUAUGGAAUUCUAACAAUUCCAACUUUAAUAUAUGAGAUAAGAGAUAUCACACAAUUUGAUAUAAAAAUAACACUAAUUUUAGAUAAUACCUCUGAUUAAACACGUGAUAUAUAGAUUUAAUAUCAAAAUCAAUUUGAGGAAAUGAUAUUUUAUUACUACUUACAAAUUGAAAAUAACAUUUCCAGAUAUCUUGAGUGAAAUAAUAAAAUAUAAAAUUAUAAAAAAUACAUAAAACUAAAAAUAUGUUAGUCAAGUGCUACAAAGGUAAAUCUCUUGUCUAUAAUUAGAUGACCCAGUUAAACCAUUGAAGCAACAAGUUUUUUUUAAAGAAUUUCAUUUUAUUCCUUAAUCUAAUGAAUAAAAAAAUUACUUAAUUUUUUUAAUGUGUUCCAUAAGAACCAAAACUCUAAUACAACUUAAUUAGAGUGUAAUCUUAAAAUUCUGAAAAGAUAGUCAAUUAAAGCUAUUAGUAAUAGAGAAUCAUGGGAUAUUGCUGCAUUUAUGUUUUUUUUGUUUUGGAGCUCGAUUGAAAAGAAAUGGGCAAUGACUAUGGACUGCAGUAAAGCUCUGAUGACUAUGGUGGACUUACAUUGUGGAGAAGAGGAUGACCUUGAUUAAGAGUUGAACCAAAAGUGUAUGUUAUGUACCGUGCUCUUCCUCUAUCUCAAGUGCACAAGAUAGAGUGUUCGAUAUAGUGAAUGAAGUUCUUUCAGGUCAGUGAAGAAAAAUGUGAUUGUGUGUGAUCUCUGUCUAGUCAUGGGGAGUGUACUUGCUGAUGUAUGAAGAGAAAAUUUGAUUAUGUGUGGGGUCUGUGAGGUCACCCGAGUGUAUGUAUGGUGAGAGUGUAAGUAAUAACCAAGAAAGUUUGUAGAAAAUGGAUAAGAUGGAAUCUCCGCCGAAUACAAAAGACCAUUGGUUUUCUUUUAAAUUUUAUUUUUUCCAUUUUAAAGAGAGUAAACAAAAAUAUUCAAAAAUCAAGAAAAUACUAUAGUUAAUUAGUUAAUUCUUGAACAAGAAAAUUAAAAUAUCCUUAACAAAAUACUAAUUUGAAAGCAUAAUAUUUUUAAUGACCUUGUACGUCAUUUUCAUCAUAUUGCGUUAUUUUCUACAUAUAGAGAUUUCCUAAGAGACCCCAAGUUAUUUAUGACUUGUUACGACUGACAACUCGGUCACCUGAUCUUUUAUUUGGUUUUUAUGCGAGUUUUCAUGUUAAGGAGCUCUUGAAACUUGAACAGUUGACUUCAGUCAAAACUUCAAGUACACAACAUGCGAAUGUAAUUUUGCUUGUUUUGUUAGCUCUGAAAUAUAGAGUUUGGUCUCGAAAGACCUCUAGUUCAUGUAUCGAGUCUUCUAGACUCAUUUUGAGUUAUCUUAUGAAUUUUUGCUUAAAAUAGAGCUCGAGUGUGAGACCCACUUUUUGUCGAUCUGACCUCCAUUGAAAGUUUCAACAUCUCAGUUACGUCCGAAAUAUCAAAUUUUGUGGGGUAGCAUGCUUCAUUUGUAUGCACAGGGUUUGAUCAGAGCUUUUGUUCUUCUAUUCCACAGAAUUGAGUCGCGUUCACGGAGGCCCACGAGAUUGAUCACCAGAUUCGUUGGCUUUGCUUCAUGUUCGCAGAGUGUUAGACCCAGACCCUUCGAAUUUACAAACAAAGUCCUGGUUAGUAGAGAAGGGUUAGAGUUGACCUGGUCCAAUUGACCACUGCGAUCCUGUCCAUAAGGCCCACGUUCAUGGACGUCAUUUAAUUGGCAUGUUAUAUUAUGAAAAGCCUGAAAUUUCGUAUCGAGGCCCUAGUGCAUUUCUACUAGCCAUGGUUUGAGGACCUGGCUCAUUUCUGCUAGCCACAAUUUGAGGCCUUAGCACAUUUCUACUAGCCACGGUAUGAUUAUGGGCACACAUCUAUUAGUCGGGUUUGAGUACUGACAUUAUGGUUCUUUUUUGGUUGUUUGGAGUGGUUUUGUUGCAGUUCAAGUCAAGGGGUUGGCCGUUUUAAUCUGGAUUCCACUUAGUCUUAGUUAGAGAUAUCAUUAGCUCUUAUGUGUACUUGUCGGGCUUAUGGGGGUGUGUUUGGGUUAUGUACUUUUUUAUUGGGCAAGAUUUCACCUUUGGGCUUAUAGGGGUUAGUUAGGUUAUAGAUAAUUAUUUUACUUUACUGCUUCCUUCUUUAUGGAUUUGUUAGAUGGAUGGUUGGUCUUUCAAUUACUAUUCUAUUUAACUAACCACUACUUACCGCUUAUUUCCUCGCUUUCAAAUGUAAUUACUUACCAAGAUCAGUUUUCCUAUUGUGUACUUAUUGUUUAGGUGCUCAUGAUACACUCUCCAUCAAUUUCUUUGAUGCAGAUCCGAGCAUCAGUCGACAAUACUGAUUCGAGUUUUUUGUGGAGAUUCUUAGAGAUAGCGGUUGAGCCUAUGGCUUCCUAGCUUGACUCAUUUAUAUUUGUUUAUAGCUUUUGGCAAGUAUUUUGUAUUCAAGAUAAGUAUGUAUUUAUUUUUGGUAUUUUGUAUCUUGUAUUCAUUUAAGUAGCUUGUACAUUUCUCCACCAGGUUAUGAGAUUGGAUCUUGUACUGUUGUUUAUAUGUCAUUUUAGGGAGAGGAGGAUGAAGAACGAAAGGUGAAUAUAUAUAUAUAUAUAUAUAAUUCUUCCAUAAUUUAAUUAAUAAAUUCAAAUUCAAAUCUUAAAUACAAGGAAAAUCUUAUUAAGGAACGUCUCUCCGUUGUAUAGGAAUCUUAUUGCAAUUCCAAUUCUCUCCUCGUUAUCCAUGAUUCUGGAAACAUCAAUGAGUAGACAAAAGAUUUAUUGCUUGAAAAAAUAUAUGAAUAAAAUAUUUUUUUUCGUCUAUCUUUAUUUGUCUAUUUUACUAUUUUAGAUAUUUAACAAUGCUUGUUCAAUUUAUAUAAUCAAUAAAUAAUUUACCAUAUGUAUCUAUUUUAUUGGUAGGGGGAGUGGGGUUUUAAGACAAUUGACUUUUUUAUCAGGUCCUUAGUAUUCAACUAAGCACAUGUGGAAUACUUGAUAACUCACUCAUGUUUUGGCAUAAUUUACUCACAAUCUUUCUACGCCAAGUGAACCUAAGACUCUAGAAAUCUCUAAGGGGAUGAUAAAAAUAAUACAAAAGAAUCGUAAGGGAGAUUUAUAUUGGAGAGAACUUGAAUUAUUUGCUUAAUGCAUUUACUGAUUAAUAACUCUUUAUUUAUAUCACCCACCCAAGGCUAAUAUGAAAAUAAUAUAUAUUAUAUAAGUCCCUACAUAUUUACAAACAAUUCUCCUUUCUAGAAUACUCUACAAGACUAGAAAUAUUCUAAGGACCUUCCAUGCAAAUCUAUGGUAUUCUAUGGUUGUGAGUGAUGUGAGUUCAACAUUGAAAAGGACUUUAGUUUGGAAGGACAAGUAGUUAAGACUAAAGAGGGAGUGUUAAUUGCUCUUUGAGUCUUUGCGGUUGCUUCUUUCCUAAGAUAGUUCGUGAGUUCUUUCCUUUCUACCAAGGUAGGAUGAAACAUAAAAACUACUGAGAAGUCAAUCACAUCGUCCAUAGCCAAUCUUCGAAACCUUGAAACUUUGAUAGUCAAACCAAUGGGAGGAAAACUGACAUUGUUGGUUACACUUUUAAAGAUGGUUAAAUUGAGACAUUUGCAGAUAUAUAGCAAAGCUCAUUUUUUUUUCAUUUUAAAGGAUGUAGAAGAAUUACUUGAGAACUCAAAAUUCAUCCUACCUUGGAGGGUAUUGAUCCUCCAUGGUUUCCAUAUAGUUAAGGGACUUAAUUGUGAAGUCAACCUAUACACCUCGAACCAAAACACUUUCUAAGCAUGGAUGGCUAUUUACAGACCCUUUGUAGUUUUUAUGAUUCAUCCAACAUUUGAGGGAAUCAAAGAAAUCGCGAACUAUCUAAGGAAAGAAACAAGCGAGAGAAUCAAAGUGAAAUUGACACUACCUUUGUACUACUUGUUCUUCAACCUCAAGAAAGUUAUCUGGGACACCAUACAAAAUAAAAUCUUUUUCGAUGUUGAGCUCACAUCACUCACAAUCUUAGAGUACCAUAGAUUUACAUGGAAAGUCUUCGAAAUACUCUAAGCUUGUAGAGUAUUCUAGAAAGGGAAAGUAUUUGUAAAUAUGUAGGAAUUUAUACAAUAAAUAUUAUUUUCAUAAUAGCUUUGAGUGAAUAAUAUAAAUAGAGAGGCAUUCAUCAGUAAACGCAUCAAGCAAAUAGUUCAAGUUCUCUCAAAUACAAAUCUCCCAUGUGAUUCUCUUGUGUUGUUUCUGUCAUUCCCUUAGCAAUUUCUAGUGUCUUAGGCUCACUUGGCAUAGAAACAUCAUGAGCAAAUUGUGCCAAAACGUGAGUGAGUUAUCAAGUAUUCCACAUCUGUUUAGUUGAAUACUAAGGACAUGAUAAAAACUCGGUUGUCUCCAAACCCCACUCUCCCUACCUCUUCUAAUUUUUCCCUAUAUGUAUAUUCUCCUCCUUUAUGGCUUGCUGGGAGUAGUAGUUCAGUCACCUAGUCGUUCGUUUUGUUUUUAUGCAAAUUUUAGUGUUUUGGAGCUCUUAAAACUUGAACGGCUGACUUCGGUAAAAAAUUUAGGUAAACAGCCUCAGAAUGUAAUUAUGAUGGUUCCGUUAGCUCCUAAAUGUCAAGUUUGGUCAAGAAGGGUCUUUGGAUUGGGACCCGAGGCUUUGAGACUCAUUUCGAGCUAUCUUGUGGAUUUUAACUUAAAAGGAGCUUGAUUGUGGGAUCCAAUUUUUGUUGAUACGACCUCCGUUGGAAGUUUCGACAUUUCCAUUGAGUCUGGAAUGUCAAAUUUGGUGGGUAUCAUAGUUCAUUUGUGUGCACAGGGUUCUGAACAAAUCUCGAGCCACCAUCGGGAUAUUUAGCCAAUUUCAAUUUGAGCUAGUCCAGCCAUUAAUUUGUUUGGGCACCCUGAUUUUUUUUCUUCGUUUUAGAGGGCCUUGAGUCACAUUUGUAGAGGCCAAGGAGAUUGGUCACCUCUUUCAUGAACUCGACUCCAUAUUCGCGGAGUGUGGGAUCUAGACCUUUCACAUUUGUUGAUAGGGUCCCGAUUUAGAGAAAAGAGUAAGAUUUGACCUGGCCCAGUUGACCACCGCGGUCACGUCCAUGUGUCCAUCAUUCGUUGAAGUUAUUUAACUGGUCCGGUCAUGGGUGCUCUAGUUUUAUUCAUGCGUAAGAAAGAUGGUUAUCUCAAAUUGUGCAACAAUUAUCGUCAGUUCAACAAGGUCACAAUAAAGAAAAAAUAUCUCAUCCCUAGGAUUGAUGAUUUGUUUCACCAGCUCCAGGGUGUCAGUUUCUUCUUAAAGAUAGACCUUAGAUCGGGCUAUCAUCGACUCAAAGUCAGAGAAUGUGACAUUCUAAAUAUAAUCUUUAGGACUCUAUAUGGUCACUAUAAAUUUAUGAUUAUUUUUUUUGGCCUAACUCUUAUAGAUUUUAUGUAUUUGAUGAACAACGUGUUCAAACUGUAUUUGGAUAUGUUUUUCAUUGUUUUCAUAGAUGAUGUUUUGAUCUAUUUUCACAGAGAGGAUGAACAUACAGCCCAUUUGAGGAUUUUCUUGCAUAUUCUUAAGGACCAUCAAUUUGCUAAGUUCAAUAAGUGUAAAUUUUGGUUGAGGUACGUAGUAUUCCUUAGCCAUAUAGUCUCAGGAGAGGGUAUUCAAGUUGGUCCCAAGAAGAUCGAGGCAGUUAAGAACUAGCCUAGACCUCUUUCUCCCUCAGAUAUUUUGUGUUUCUUAGGUUUAACCGAUUACUAUAGAGGGUUUAUUGAAGAAUUUUCCUCUAUUGAUUCUCAUUUGUCUAGAUUGACUUAGAAGAAAGUGAAUUUUAGUAGUCUAAAUCACGUGAGGAGAGUUUACAGGAGUUGAGGACUUGACUUACUUAAGCCUUAGUUUUGACUCUACUAGAAGGUUCAAAUUGUUUCAUGAUGUAUUGCAAUGCUUCCUGAAUUAGUCUUGGAUAUGUAUUGAUUUAACAUGGUAAGGUCAUAGCUUAUUCUUCCGGGCAACUCAAGAUUAAUGAGAAUAAUUAUCCGACUCACGAUUUAGAGUUGGCAGGUGUUUUCCUUGAAGAUUUUGAGGCACUAUCUUUAUGGUGUUCAUGUGGAAGUGUUCACAGGUCAUAAGAAACUUCAACAUGUGUUCAAAUAGAAGGACUUAAAUUUCUGUCACAAGAGUUGGCUUGAGUUAUUAAAGGAUUAUGACAUGACCGUCCUUUAUCAUCCAAGUAAAGCAAAUAUAGUGAAAAAUUCUCUUAGUAGAUUUUCAAUGAACAACGUUGCACAUAUCGAGGAUGAGAAGAUUGAGUUAGUUUGUGAUGUUCACAGACUUGCUCACUUGGGAGUUCAUCCGGUCGAUUCAGAAAUGGUGGAGUUAUUAUUCUGAAUUGGCUAGAUACAUCUCUCGUAAUGGAUAUUAAGGUAAAAUAGGAUGAUGAUCGAAAUUUGGUUGAGUUGAAGAAAGCAGUUCUCAAAAAACUAUUGAGGCUUUCUCCCAAGGGGGAUAUGUGCUUCGUUAGCAAGUCGAUUAUGUAUUCCAGAUGUUUAUGGGUUGAGUGAUCGAAUUCCAAACUAGUUAAGGUUGAGCAUCAUAAACCAGGAAGUAUGAAUUAGGAUAUCAUUAGUCCUACUUUAAAGUGAGAAGAUUAGAAUAUGGACUUCAACACAAGUUUGUCUUUCAUGCAUUGUCAAUAUGACUCUAUUUGAGUAGUUGUAGACCGAAUAACUAAGUUAACACAUUUCCUUCUAGUUAAGAGUUUAUAUUCGGCCGAGGAUUAUGCUAGACUUUCCAUUCUUGAGUUGUUAAAAUUGCAUGGAGUUUCAUUGUCCAUUAUCUCAAAUAGGGGUACUAAGUUCACCUAUCAGUUUGGAAGAUCGUUUUAGAAAGGUCUUGGUACUCAGGUUAAGCUUAGCACAACUUUUCAUCCACAAGUAGAUAGAUAGGCUGAAUGGAUUAUUUUUACCUUGGAGGAUAUGUUGAGAGCUUGAGUAAUUGACUUUAAAGGUAAUUGGGAUUUGGGAUGAUCAUUUUCCUUUGAUGAAGUUUUCUUAUAAUAAUUGUUACCACUCCAUUAUUCAGAUGGCUCCAUUUGAGGCACUCUAUUGUAGGAGUUGUAGGUCUCUUAUAGGUUGGUUUGAAGUUGGUGGUUCCUUUAGGAAGUAUCAGUGCGAAGGAAAGUCUCUCUUACGAAGAGGUCCUAGUUGAUAUUAUGACUGUCAUGUUCAUAAGUUGAGGAAUAAGGAAGUCGCUUUAGUGAAAGUACUUUGGAGGAAUCAGUUAGUUGAGGAUGCUACUGGAGAAGCAGAAGUAGAUAUGAUAUCAAGUAUCUCCAUCUUUUUCCUUUCAGUUCAGUUUUAGCAUGAGGUAAUAGUUAAUCAUUAGUACUUUUAGAUUCAUCUGUUUCAUUAUUCUCAUAUCUCGGUAUGCAUGCAUGUUCAUAAAAUCAUAUUAGUUUUCAUAUUAUAGUUUGGAGUCAGUCACUCCUUCAGUAAUUAGUGUUUAGCUUUCACUAUUGGGUGGGAGAUCAUUCCAUACUUUUCUCAACCUGGUUUGACUCCAUUUGAGGAUGAAUGUCCCCAAGGGGGAGAUAUUGUAACACACUAAAAGUUCCUAAGCCCACAUCGGUUUUUGGAAAGAUAAAAAAGAGUGAUACCAAUAUAUAUGGGUUUGUAUGGACGCUUUCACGAACCGUGAAAAGAAUCACGGUCCGUGAUAGGAUUUGUAGAGUUAAGCUUGAAUUUGGGAAAUUGUAAGAAGGUUUCAUGGGCUCUUUCACAUAUCGUGGAGACUUGCAUGAACUAUGGAAUAGUCUGUAAACCAAGACCCCAUAACCCAUAAUUCUCUUUCCUUUACUGCUUCUAAGUUCCAUGCAAUGUUCUAUGGAUUAUAGAAUGGUCCGUAGAAGUUGAUCCUCAAAAAGCAGAACUCUUUUACGUUCACGGUAACUUCCAUGGUCCAUGAAAUGUUGUGUGGUCUGUGUAAGGCAACCAUAGAAAGCCUCCAUCAACUUUAAGUCAUAGUUACUUUGGUCUUGUCACACUCUUUUCGUUCCUAUAUUAUGUCAUUUUAACCUUUUCUAAGUGGAAUUAGGGGGGAGUUGUCAGCCCAAAACUCCUCAUUCACUCAUAACCUCCCCAAAUUAGAUUUCUUCUCUCUCAAGAUUUCUCCUAAAGCAAGAACUAUUGCUCCAAGUUUCAAUUCUCCAUUGCAAGAAUCAAGCAAAGGUUUUUGCUCCAGGUAUGUGAGAUUUCAUCAAUGGGUAACCCUUCACCCAUUAAGUCCCAAAUAAACUUCAGAAUUUCAAAGUUUAUGAUUCCUACAGGUUAGACCAUUAUAAGAUCUUCAUGGGUUUUUAUUGUAAAUCAGUUCUUCCUUCAAUAGCAGUCCAUAAUUGCAUGUUUUACUCAUGAAUUCCACAAUUUCAAUUGUAAUUCCAUGUUUUCAAUGAUAAUUUCAUGAACAUAUAGAAUGCAAGUACUUUCAAGACUUGGAAUUAUGAUAUUUUAGAUGCAUGUCUCAAAUUAUCAGAUUUUUAUGAUUUACAUGCUUUCCAAUAAAGUAUCUUCCAAAUAAUUUUAUGUUAUCAUGAUAUAAAAUUACUUUAAGAAAAAGUAUCAAUGAGUCUGAUUUCAAUACCUACUCAGUAUGUGUCAGUUAUCAGUAUGAUUUAGUAUUAUCAUAUUAUUAUUAUUUCCACAUUAUGCAUGUUUCUAUUGGGAUUAAUACUUAGAAACAAGUGAAUUUUAGGGAUGAAGGUUUUCGAUCAGCGUCUGUGGACCUUUAGUAGGAAUAUAUAUGUCCCAAAAAUAUGUGCCACCAAAGGAUUUGUCUUAGAUAAACUUUAGGUUAGUGGAUCCACAUUAGCUAUGUUAUCAAGUCCCUUAUGAUGGCAAGUACUGGACUCCCUAUUUUGGGUGUGGGGGUAGUACACUAAACUCCAUGUAGUAGCUCACAUGAUUUAUGUUGGUUUUAGUAUUACCAUAAUUAGAUUUUUAGUUAUUGCAUGACCUUGUACUUUUGUGUUUUAGUUCUAAAUAUCUCAGCUUCAUGUUAUUUUACUUGGUCAUUGAAUUAACAUAUUUUACAGAUUCAGUAUGUUCAUAUAUCAUGUGUAUUAUGCAUAUUCCUCAUACUCAGUGCAUUCAAAGUACCGAUUGCAUACUUUCUGCCUGUAUUGUUUUGUAGUUUCACGCUCAGCAUCCGAAUCGCGGUUAGUACAGAUCCAAUCAGUGCAGAAGUAGCUUUUGGUGAGUCCUCAUUGCCAAAGGACGACCCCUUUAUCUUUGAUUUUCAGAAUUUAACUUUCAAUUUUUGAUAGUUGGAGUUAAAUAGGGUUUUGUCCUAGCAACUCAUAUUAGUAGAAGCUUCCAAAAAGUCAUAUAUACAUUCAGCUAAUGUGAUGUCUUUUCUGAUGUUAGUCUAUCUCAUUAUUAUGGGCUUUAUUAUGUUAUUUUGGAUUUAGCUUCUGCAUUUUCUUUCAAAUUUUUCUUUGGUUUUAUGCAAAUCUUAGUGUUAUGUCAUUCCAUGAGGUUAACUCGUGGUCACUUCUGACUCUAAGGAAUGUGCCACAUCUAGAGCAUGAUAGAUCAAUAACCAACAAAGUGAUAAUGAUAAAACAAUAUCUUAAUGGUUCUAUAAUUAUUUAGCAUGUCUACAAAUUAAUAACCGAAAAGUGAACCAAUGAAUUUCAAAAUCAAACCGAAACGACCAAUACUCAACCCAACUUGUGAGUAGUUAUUUUUAGAAGUUAAAAAAAAAACAUUCUUAUUCUUCUAAAAUAUGUCAUCUAAUUGAGGGUUUUUUUUUAACUAUUUCACUAAAUUUCAUAACCUGAUUUGAUCAUUAGGAUUAACUAGAUCAUAUUGCUUUUCAAUACUGUAGACACAAAAUUUUAUAUUUUCCUUAAAUCAUUAUUUACACUAUUUUAGCAAUAAAUGUUAUGUUUGAGAUUAAUCUUGUUAUUUUGAUUUCAUUUCAUUUUUAAUAGGUUUAUUUACAAAAUUUAAAAAUCCUAAAAUAAAAUAAUAUAAAAAAGGUGUAUCUUUACGAUAUAAUUUUUUUUAAAAUUUUUUUAAAAUAAGAGAAAAUUCAUAAAAAUAUUAUGCUUUUAUAUUAGUAUUUUUUUAAUGAUAUUUUAAUUUUCUUAUUCAAGAAUUAACUAUAGUAUUUUAUUUAUUUUACGAUAUAUUUGUUUACUCUCUUUAAAAUAGAAAAAAUAAAUUUUAAAGGAGAACCAAUUAUCUUUUGCCACUUGGCAAUGAUUUCAUCUUAUCCAUGUGCAACAAACUUUCUUGGCCGCGGUGACCUCACAGACCGCGCACACAAUCAAAUUUUACCAUCAUACACUUGUACACACACUCACCGUGAUAAGACAGACACUACACACAAUUAUAUUUUUCUUCACUAGCCUGAAAGGACUCCAUUCACUAUACCGAAUACUCACUUUGUGCAUCUUAGAUAGAGGAAGAGCACAAUACAUAGAUGGGACUAUUCAUUAAGCUCGCAAUCAAGUUAAGCCUCUUCACCACCAUGUAAGCCCAUCAUAGUCAUCGAAGCUUUAUCAUAGUCCAUAGUCAUCACCCAAUUCCUUUCAAUCGAGCUCCACCACCAACAAAACCCCAAAAAAGAGUAAUAUCCAAGAUUCUGUAUUACUAAUAACUCUAGUUGAUUCACUUUUCAAAAUUUUAAGAUUUCACUCUAAUUGAGUUGUAUUGGAGUUUAAGUUCUUUUAGAACCGCAUCAACAAAAAAUUAUAAAUCAUGUUGGAAAUUAACCAAGAUUUCUAAAGAAAAUAGCUAUUCAUUAUAGUAAGAUAUAAAAAUAAAUUCAUUAGAAAGCUUGUUGUUUGAUGAAGGGAUUAACUAGGUUAUCUGAUUAUACACUGGAGAUUUAAUUUUAUAGCCCUUUACUAACUUAUUUUUAGUUUAUGUCUUUUUUAUAAGAUGUUUUUAUUUUUUCACAAAACAUAUCUGAAAAUUUUAUUUUCAAUUUGAAAGUAGUUAAAAGAUAUCAUUUCCUCAUAUUGAUUUUGAUAUUUAAUCUAUAUAUCCCUUGUUUGAGCGGAGGUAUUACCUAAAAUUAGGGUUAUUAUUAUAUCAAAAUCUUGUGGUAUCCCGUAUCUCAUAUAUAAAAGUUAGGAUUACUAAUCAUAGAUUUUGAAAUUAAAUAGCAUCUAAGAAUAUUUUAGUUGGGGAAUAAAAGUAAAAAAAAGAACUAGGGUCUCCACUCUUUCUUCACCUCUUUCAUAUCACCACACCUAAUCAUGAAUCUGAUCAUAGAACAUAUCGAUCUAACCAAAAGAUCAAAAAUAAAGUAGAAAAAACAUGAAUUCUUUAAGUGAUGAUGGAAUUAAAAAGGUGGAGUAAGUGCAUGUAUAUUUAAAUUAACGAGUAAACCUAUUCCUUAGCACUAUAAAGAAGAAGUAAAAUGACACUUUCAUCCUCCUUGGUAAAACGAACUAUGAGCUUAGCUAGAGUCUUCAUAUCACGAUGUCUUAGAUCAUGCCUUGGUGGUUCUGUACUAGAGAUGAGUCAAUUGACCAGCAUUUUGGUGAAGCAAUAUCAGAUGAUGGUGUAGAAAAGAUAUGUUGUUGCUGGAGAAUUGAGGAAUCAAUGGUAGAACUCUACUUUUGUUGAUAACUAAAAAUUGCACAAAAAGUUUUUUUUAUGGAUUCCUUUAAUCCAAAGUUCUUUGGUGUGAACCUUGUAUUAACUCGAUUUGGAUUAAAUGAACCCACCAAAGAGAAGUGUUUCUGUCAUUUUCUAAUUAUCAACAACUAUAGAGUUCUACUAUUGACCAAUUCAACAACAACAACAACAAAUCUUUUCUACAACAACAUCUGACAUUGAUUCACCAAAUGCCCAUCAAUUGACUCCACCUCUAGUACGGAAGCCACCUAGGAAUGAUCUGAGGCUUUAUGAUAUGAGGACUCAAACUAGGCUCAUGGGUUGUUUUAGCAAAGAGGAAGAAAGAGUCAUUUAUUUUCUUCUUCAUAAUGCUAAGGAAUAGGUUCACUCAACAAUUUAAAUAUACGUGCAUUUGCUCCACUUAAAGAAUUCAUGUUUUCUUCCUACUUUAGUUUCAAUUUAUUCGUUAGAUCAAUAUGUUUUGUGAUCAAAUUCAUGAUUAGUUGUAGUGGUAUAAAAGAGGUUAAGAGAGUGGAGAGACCCUAUUUUUUUUUACUUUAUUCACCUACUCAAAUUAUUCAGGUACUAUUUUAUUUCAACAUCUGGAAUUCUAGCAAUUCCAACUUUUUAUUUAUGAGAUAAGUGUUACCACACGAUUUUGAUAUAAAAAUAACACUAAUCUUAGCUAAUGCCUCCGAUUAAAAGAAAUGGGUGUUGACUGUGGACUGUGGUGAAGCUCUGAUGCACAAGAGAGAGUGUUCGAUAUAGUGAAUGAAGUCCUUGCAGGUCAGUGAAGAAAAAUGUGAUUAUGUGUGGUCUCUCUCGGGUCACAGGGAGUGUGUGUGCAGUUGUAUGAAAAGAAAAAUUGAUUAUGUGUGGGGUCUUUGAGGUCACUUGAGUGCAUGUAUGGUGAGAGUGUAGAGUAAUAACCAAUAAAUUUUGUUGCACAUGGAUAAGAUGAAAUCUUCACCAAGUGACAAAAGAUCAUUGGUUUUCUUUUAAAUUUUAUUUUUUCCAUUUUAAAGAGAGUAAACAAAAAUAUUCAAAAAUCAAAAAAAUACUAUAGUUAAUUAGAUAAUUCUUGAACAAGAAAUUAAAACAUCCUGAACAAAAUACUAAUUUAAAAGCACAAUCUUUGUAAUAACCUUGUAGGUCAUUUUCAUCAUAUUGCGUUAUUUUUGGUAUAUAGAGCUUUCCUAUAGCGAACCUAAGUUAUUUAUGACUUGUUGCGACUAAAAGCUUGGUCACUUAGUCUUUUAUUUUGUUUUUAUGCGAGUUGUCAUGCUUAGGAGCUCUUGAAACUUGAACAGUUGACUUUGGUCAAAACAUCAAGCUAACGGCCUUCGAAUGCAAUUUUUCUUGUUUUGUUAGCUCUGAAAUGUCCAGUUUGGUCUAGAAGGAUCUUUGGUUCGGGUACCGAGUCUUCCAGACUCAUUUUGAGCUAUCUUAUGAAAUUUGGCUUAAAAUAAAGCUUGAUUGUGAGACCCACUUUUUUCAAGACUACCUCCAUUGAAAGUUUCAACAUUUUAGUUAAGUACGGAAUAUCAAAUUUUAUGGGGUAGCAUACUUCAUUUGCAUGCAGAGAAAACGAAUGUCGAGCCCCAUCAGGGAAUGUUGUCAAUUUCAACUUGAGUUGGUUCAGCCUUUGUUGGUGCACCAUGCUUUUGUUCUUCGCCUUCACAGGACUUGAGGCACAUGCACGGAGGCCCAGGAGAUUAGUCACCAUGUUUAUGGGCUUUUCAUCACGUUCAUAGAGUGUUAGACCAGAUCCUACGCAUUUGCAAACAAAGUCAUGCGUUCGCUGGGAAGGGACAGAGUUGACCUGGCCCAGUUGACCACUACCAUCACGUCCAUGGGCCUGCGUUCAUGGACGUCAUUUAAUUCACAUGUUAUAUUGUGAUCAACAAAUUUUAGAUCGCGGCCUUAAUGCAUUUCUACUAUCUAUGGUUUGAGGAUCUGGCUCAUUUCUACUAUCCACGAUUUGAGGCCUUAGUGCAUUUCUACUAGCUAUGGUAUGAUUACGGGCACACAUCUAUUAGUCAGGUUUGAGUAAUGACAUUAUGGUUCCUUUUGGGUUGUUUGGGGUGCUUUCGUUACAGUACAAGUCAGGGGUUGGCCGUUUUAGUUCUGGAUUCCACUUAGUCGUAGUUAGAGAUAUCAUUCGCUCAUAUGUGUACUCAUUAGGCUUAUGGGGUCUGUUUGGGUUACUUACAUUUUAAUUGUGCAGGAUUGCACCUUAUGGGCUUAUGGGGUCAGUUAGGUUAUAGAUAGUAGUUUUACUUUACUGUUUCAUUCCUUAUGCAUUUGUGAGAUGGAUAGUUGGUCUUUCCAUUACUUUUCUAUUUAACUGACCACUACUUACCGCUUAUUUCCUAUCUUUCUAAUUGUAUUUACUUACCAAGAUCAGUUUGCCUAUGUUUCCUAUUGUGUACUUGUUGUUUUGGUACUCAUGCUACACUCCACAUCUGUUUCUUUGAUACAGAUCCGAGUGCCAACCGACAAUGUUGAUUCGAUCUUUUGUGGAGAUUCUCAGAUAUGGAAGUUGAGCUUAUGGCGUCCUAGCUUGACUCAACUCUACUUAUUUAUAGCUUUUGGAAAGUCUUUUGUAUUCAAGACAAGUAUGUAUUUAUUUUUAGUAUUUUGUAUCUUGUACAUUCGUCCACCAAAUCGUGGGAUUGGAUUUUGUAUUAUUGUUUAUACUGUCAUUCUCAUUUCCAGUGUGUUUUCCUCUUUGUUAUUAUUAUCUUCUCGUUGGUUAUUGAUUCUACCCAAUAUACAUGUACUUGACGUUCCGGGAUAUGAGUUGGCUUACUUACUUAUGGGCUAUGGUAAGUGUCAUCAUGACUUGAGUUUUCAGAUCAUGACAAAGAUUUAUCUGUGCCCCAAGUUCGUCGGUGUCAUUGGUACAAACCUAAUGUCUACUAGAGUCUUGCAGAUCAGUCCAGAGACAUAUGUGCCUUAUCUUUCGGAGGUUAAAGGGCAUCUUUAGAAAGAUUCUUUCUUUUAGUUUGUUAUCAUACAUUUGGAUGUGUUAUUCGAUUUCUUGAAUCUUAUUUAAUUUAGUCUUUGGUAGGAGGACUUGUACGCGAUUUAGUAGUCGGGUGUGAUGGUCCAGCAGAUAUAGCCCCAACAAGGGGUAUAGGGUGACCCCGAGGUCAUGUGUGAGUUGUCGUACUAGGUUAGACCCAGGGUAGAGAAGUGACCCUGAUCCAAUAGUAGAGCCUCUGCUAGCUCUUAUUCCUCCACAAUCGGUGGGGAUGGGACCAACCCAACCACCACUCAUGGUAGCUAUGUCACCAGAAUUACAGACGGCUACCACUCUGUUAUUGGCCAUGGCCAUGCUAGGGGUUAUGCAGUAGGCCCAAUCUCCAGCUAUGCCAAUGUCGCAGGUUAAGUUGACAGCAGUGGCUCCCCUGGUUGAGGUGCCACUACCACCCGUCACUUCUCAGUUUGUUACUGCACUAAUACCACUAGAGGAUGCUUGAAGUGUUUUUGAGACACACUUCUCUCAGGCUUUUAUGAGGUUGUAGGGGAGGAUGCCCAUGAGUUUUUGACUAUCUUUAGAAAGAGGUUGUAAACGUUUCUAUUAGUGUCAUCUAGAGGAGAAUACAUUACCGCAUAUCAGCUUGGUGGACCAUCUAGGCAGUGGUGGCGUUUGUAUAUGAAUUGUAGACCAGUUUGGUCACCUUUCGUGUUUUGACUAAGUUUUCAGAGGCUUCCUUGGUGAGAUUUAUACCAAGGAGCGUCGCAUAUCGACUCCAAGAUUAUUUUACUAGGUUUGAGUAGGUCUCCAUGACCGUAUGGAAAUAUGAGGCUAAAUUACAUGAGCUCUCCAAGAAUGCUAUCAUGAUUCUACCUUCAAAGUAGGAGAGAGUUUGUUGCUUUGUCCGUUGUUUGAGGUUACAAUUAUGGAUUGAGACUAAGUCCAUGGCUUUAGCUGGAAGAUCAUUCUUAGAUAUAGUUGAUCACACUUCUACUAUAGAAGAUCUCUGUCACGGGGUCCAAGGGGGCACCGAGAAGAGAGCUUGACACUAAGGGAACUACAUUUGUCCUAAUCUAGCCGGCCUGUUCAGUUGACACUUCAAAUUGCAAAAGGAGAGAAGUACAGUCAAGGUAGUUGUAGAACAUCAAAGUUCAAAUGUAUCAUACGUGUUUCAUAAGGUUGUGGUGGUCUAAAUUUUCACAUCGGUGCUUCUCGAGGUUGUUUUGGUUAGGGAGAACUUGGUCAUAGGUCUAGAGAGUGUCCCCAUGAAAAGAUGAUUGCACCUACUCCACAGUCAACCGACUAGGGUUAUUUCUUAUGUUUGGGUUCAGAGGCUAGUGUCUAGUGGAUCUUAUCCUAUUUGGCUUAUUUAUGGGAUCUUAGUAAGGAAGGGCCCUACAGUCGAUUUUAUCCCUAUUAUGCGAGAGUUCAUAAAUAUCUUCCUUACCGAUCUACAUGGCCUUCCCAUAGAGCAUGAUAUUUAUUUUGAUAUUGACCUUGAGUCGGACACUCUUCAUAUCUCUAUCCCACCCUACCAUAUGGCCCUAUUUAGCUUAUGAGCUCAGUCUAACAUCUCUUAGGUAAGGGAUUUAUUGCCCCAGUUCUACUUUUGAAAUAAAAAUGAUUUUAUGUGUAUGUGUAACAAAUAUAGAAAGUUGAAUAAGGUGACGGUGAAGAAUAGGUGUCUUAUGCCUUGUAUUGUUGAUUUGUUUGACUAGCUUUAGGGUGUCAUGGUGUUUAUUAAUAUUUAUUUGAGAUCCGGUUACCAUUUGCUGAGGAUUAGGGAAAAUGACAUUCCUAAGAUAGAUUUUAAGACGUAUUACAAUCAUUAUGAUUUCCUAUUGAUCUCUUUUGGGUUGAUUAAUGACCUGACAAAGUUCAUGGACUCUAUGACAUAAAUUUUCAGGACUUAUAUUAAUUCGUUCAUGAUCAUGUUCAUUGAUGACAUUCUUGAUUACGCGUGGAGCAGGGAGGAGCAGUAGCAGCAUUUGAGGAAUAUGCUCUAGACUUUGAGAGAUCCACGACUUUAUGGAAAAUUCUCAAAGUGUGUGUUCUGGCUUGAAUAUGUAGAAUGUUUGGGGCAUGUGGUAUCCCGGGAUGGCAUUAUGAUUGAUGUGGGGAAUAUUUAGGCUAUUCAUCAUUGAGCCAAGCCCACCGUAGUGACUAAGAUACGGAGCUUCAUUAGAUUAGCUAGAUACUAUAUACAGUUUGUUGAGGGGGUCUCACCGAUUAUAGAACCUUGAUGUUCCUUUUGAGUGGUAAAAUUAGUGUGAGUUGAGAUUUCGGAUGCUCAAGGAGUUGCAUACUACUUCUCUUAUUCUGACUCUUCUACUUUAGGGUGAAGGUUUCACUGUGUAUAAUAAUGCAUCCAAAUUUGGUUUGGUUUAUUCAUUGAUACACCAGGGCCGUGUAAUUGCAUAUUCAUUGAGGUAGUUAAGGUGGACGAGCGCAACUACAUCACUCGUUACUUAAAGUUUACGGGGGUAGUAUUUGUGCUUAAGAUUUAAAGGCAUUACAUGUAUGAGGUCAGAUGUGAUGUCUAUACCAAUCACAUGAGUUUGCAGUACAUUAUGAUCCAUAAAAACCUCAACUCGAGGUAAUGUAUGUGGAUUGAGCUCCUAAAGGACUAUGACAAACCUAUUAUAUGCCAUCUAGGCAAGACAGAUUUGGUAGUGAACGCCUUGAGACGCAAGUGACCUUUGGCUUUAGAUAUUCACUCUUUAUCCAAUAAGAUGAUUUGUCUUGAUAUUUUGGAUUCUAGGCAGGUGCUAGCCUAUGUUUGAGUUUAGUUGUCCUUAGUGGAGUGCAUUUGUUGUAGACGAUUUGAGGAUAGAUACUUUGGGUUUCACGAGGUGACGCCAAGAAAGAUACUUUGGAUGAGGAUGUUAUUUUGUAGUAUGAUGGUCCUAUUUGUGUUCCUAGGGUUAAGGAUUCAUACAAUUGAUUCUUUGCGAGGCUCAUGGUUCCAUAUAUUCUAUUCACCUAUCACAGUGAAAAUGUAUCAUGAUUUCAGGUAGAACUAUUGGUUGAGUGAUAUGAGGAGAGAUAUUGCGGAAUAUAUGUCCAAAUGCUUAUGUUUUCGGUAGGUGAAGUCCCAAUAUUUAAGGCAUGGUGGUGAGUUCCAGAGAUUUCCCAUUCUGGAGUGGAAUUAGAAGUGCAUCACCAUGGAUUUCGUUAUGGGGUUGCCUCAGACUUCAGAGGUGUUGAUAGUAUUUGGGUCGUCAUGGAUUGACUGAUUGAAUCAGCACUCUCUUCUUGUUCAGUCUUUUUUAGCUUCGAGAGGCUAGCUCGUGUUUAUAUUUGGGAGGUAAUUUGUCUUCAUAGGGUGUGUGUGUGUAUUAUCUCAUAAAGGGUUUCCCAGUUUACUUCUUGCUUCUGGAAGACUUUUAAGGAGGACUUUGGUACCCGAGUUGACCUUAGAAAAAAUUUUCAUCCACAGACCUACGGGCAUUCCGAGCGUACUAUUCAGGUUUUGGAGGAUAUGGUGCAUGCAUAUGUUUUGGACUUUGGAAGUCAGUGGGACCAACUCUUAGCCUUAGCGGAGUUUGUGUAUAACAAAAACUACCACUCAAGUAUUUAGAUGGCCCUUUUCGAGGCUUUAUAUGGUAGGCAUCAUUGUUCUUUGGUUGGUUGGCUUAAGGUUUUGGAGCCUAGGCCACAUGUGACUGAUUUGCUUCAGCAUGCAUUGGAUAGAAUUUGGGUGAUUCAAUAUAGGCUUAGGUCAGCACAAAGUAGGCGCAAGUGCUAUCUUGACCAUAGGCAUCAACUUUUAAGAUUCUGAGUUAGUGAUCAGGUGUUUCUUUGAGUAUCGCCUUUGUAGGGCGUGAUGUUGUUCAAGAGCUGGGGCAGCCUAAGCUCCUGGUAAAUAGGGUCAUUUGAGAUUAUUUGGACCGUUGGUGAUGUUGCUUAUGAGUUGGUCUUACCUCCUACCUUCUAAGCUAUUCAUCCGAUUUUUCAUAUUUCUAUGCUUCACUUGUAUGUUCCUGACGAGUCUCAUGUGCUCUGGUAUGACUCAGUUCAAUUGGAUGAUUGCUUGACCUUUGUAGAGGAGCCAAUUGAUAUUUUGGCAAGAGAUGUGAGGCAUUUGCAUUCGAGAUCCAUUCAUGUUGUUAAGGUCUAGUGGAAGCAUCAUCCAAUCAAGAAGGCUACCUGGGAGACCCAACACAAGAUGCAAGCUCAGUUUCCUACCUAUUUGACCUUCAGGUACUUCUUGAAUAGCUCUCGAAUGAAAGUCCUUUUAGUAGUGGAUGUUGUAAUGACCCUCUAGGUCAUUUUCUUCUUAUUGCAUCUUUUGGUGUUUAGAGCUUCCUUAUAACGACCCUAAGUCAUUUAUGACUUGUAGAGACAUUUGUUCACCUAGUCAUUCAUUUGGUUUUUAUAUGAGUUCGUGUUUUAGAGCUCAUGAAACUUGAACAGUUGACUUUAGUCAAACCUUCGAGUAAACAGCCUUAAAAUGCAAUUCGAAUGGUUUCGUUAGCUCCGAAAUAUCAAGUUUUGUCUAGAAAAACCUUUGGUUCGGUUCCAAAGGCUUCCGAACUCAUUUCGAACUAUCUUGUGGAUUUUGGCUUAAAACAGAGCCUGAGUGUGGGACUCACUUUUUAUCAAAUUGAUCUCCGACAGAAGUUUCGACAUCUCUAUUGAGUUUGGAAUGUCGAUUUUGGUGGGUAGCAUAGUUCAUUUGCAUGCACAGGUUUUCGAACGAAUCUUGAGAAUUCCACCACCAAUCCCUUCGGCGUCAACCAAAGUUACCCUUAAACACUUUUAGCAGCUCUCCAGUUUUUACCUUAAUGCAGCGAACUAUCUUAUCCCACUUACUUCAUUCAUCCCCAAUACUCCGCCAUUCUAACAUUGCUGUCAACUUCUCCUCAAUUUCACGAGAGAGGGAAAUUGCCACCCCACCCCACCCCUAUUUACUCCUAGGUCGAACAUAUUACUAUUUUUUCCUCGUCUCUUGCUUAAUCUCCACGCUUAUCACCAAAAGCUUAUGCUGAGUAGUAAGAUUCUCACUUAGAAUAAUUUUGCAAUCCAUACAAAGGCCUUUAUCUUCUUUCCUCAUAAACAAAUAAUCUAUCUGAGUUUUAGCCACCGUGUUAUGAAAGGUAAUCAAGUGAUUAUCCUUCUUCAGAAAGCACGAUAUCGUCAGCUAUCACAAAAUCAAAAUCUCUUGAAAAUCCAAGAGUGAGGUUCUACCAUAGUUUCUAAACCUCAAAACCAAUGAUGCCAUGCAUGUCGUCAGAACCACUAAGAGUUUCCCCAUUGUGUCUAUUGAAAUCUCUGCCAAUGAGAACCUUGUCGGUGAUUAAAAUACCCCCCAAAAUCACAUCUAAUUCCUCCUAAAAAUGCAUCUUGGCCUCCUUGUCUAAGCCUCAAUGUGGAGCAUAUGCAGUAACCAUAUUCAAAGUUAUCCACUCAACGAUUAGCUUGAUCGCCAACAAUCUAUCGUUAACCCUCCGAACAUAUACUAGAAUGCCUACACCAUUCUUGUUCCCCGAACUUCUUGAGUACCAAAUUUUAAGACCAUCCACAUGCCAAGCCUUAGAUCCUACCCAUCUAUUUUGUUUAAUGCAAACUAUAUUAAUCUUCCUCUUCAUAAGGAUCUUCAAUAACUCAAUGGACUUUACAGACAAAGUCCCUUUGUUCCUAGACCUUACUCUCAACCUUUAAACCCCCUUAAUCCCAUACCUACCCUCUCCCUCAUCCCCAACUGAAUACAAAACCCUAGUCUAUCAUCUCUUACCACGACCACUAAAGCUAAAGUAAGUUAAAUGACAAGUAGAAAACACAAUGAACUAGUUAAUACACUAUGAUAAAACUAACACAUACAGUACCUAUACUAUACUGUGGAACGAAAUCAAGGGAAGCAUCUGAAAUUCAUAGGCUUUCAAGAACAAAAAAUGCAAUUAAAUUCUGAAAGCAAUAUAGGUAGGUGAAGAUAUAGAGUCGCUACUAUAUACUACAAAGAUCAAGAGUACAAGAAGAUCGAGAAAGACCUGGUAGUGUCGUGAGUUUUAAAGAUAUCAAGAAACUUGAAUUUGGAUGUCGCAGGAAUCGUUGGAUGUCACUGAUAGCCCAUGGAAGUCAUUAAAAAUGAAUAGAAAUCACUGGAAAUGGCUGCAGGUUUCCUGAUCUAGUCUUUACUCGAGUUGUUGGAUCUUGUCGGAAGUCCUUGGAAUUCACCAGAAAUGGAUGGAGGUCUUUGAAAAUGGAUUAAAGUGGCCCUAAAUGGUCUUUACUGGACAUAUCUGGUACGGAUCUGGUACCCGACCAUACGUUUUGGCAAGAAUAGUGCCGACGAUAAUUGGAUCUUGCCGGUGGUGAGAGAGGAGAAGUCAAAAAAGAAAGAGAAAGAGAUUGACAGAUUGCCCGAAAGAAAUAGUUGAUGAUGAAAAGGAAAGUUUCUGAAUAUUAACUAUUAGGCUAAUAAAUAAUUAAAUCAUUUCAAUGAAAGCAUAGGAAAAAAAUUAAAUCUUUGUGACAAAA